AUGGGCACGGAGGUGCUCCCGACCCUUGACAACAAGGGCAAGCAACCGAUUCAUCCAAUGCCCGAGGUGGUGCUGCCGCCGACUGCCGAGGAAGAACAGAAGACACCAACGGUUGGUGGCGACGAGCGCAUGGAGGAGCCCCCCCCCCCCAGUAGCAAGCGCCGCAACUACGACCGCUACCAUCAGGAGGGUGGCCCAACUCACACUACUAGGGAAAAGCCUAGCAGUAGCGCGUGUUUUAGGCCUAUUAGUAGCGCGGGGAGGGGCGCUACUGGUACGGUACUACAGCUAAAGGUAAAAUAG
rnacentral:rRNA from 1 species